CGGCGUUUUCAUCUUCCAGCAAAAACUUCCACUGUACCACUAAAAGUAAUCUUUGAUUCUAACCUCAGAAUUGUUUGUCCAGGUGAAACGGAAGUGGAGUUCUCAACCAGAUUAGUCAAGAAUGCAGAGGAUCUUAUCAUUAAAGAGGGACCAGAAACAGUAAACAUUCGAUUGAUUACUUAUGGAAAUUGCCAUCUUUAUGUGUUAGGACGAUGUUGGCAUCUCAAUAAAACACAAAUAUCUUCUUUCUACAUUGGUGCUUUUAUGGCUGAACCAGACAUGGUUGCUGUUCGUGUGAUACCUCCACCUGCUACGUAAUUUGAAAAGGUCAUUUCUAAAACUUCAUUGGUACUAAGUACAUUUGGCAAUGGUUAUGCUAUUUUGUGUUACUAAGUACCAAGUAUAUUGGGCUCUUUCUGACUGCAGGUCCAAUCUGUUGUUUGCAGUAUGAUAUCCUGCUCAUUGCUGUUGAAGUAUGUGCAUAUCUAACUGAACCAUGUUCAUUACCAUGACCCCAAAAUCGAUGGAGAACAAAAAUACAUGACUAACCAUUUGUAUUUUGUUUGGCCUUUAAGUGAAUACACCAUCAAGCCAGAUCUUCUGUCCUUAGCUAAGGCACCGUCUCCAGCACAUAUGCCGAUGGAGCCAUUCUUAUGAGUCAAAAAGUAGCAGAUGUCAUGUAUUCUCAAAGCAACAAGCUAGGUAUGUUUUUAGUUAUGCCUAACGUGGUAAGACUCAACUGUUCUGAUCUUAAAAACCAUUUUUGGUAUUUCAGGUGAUUUCUCGCACGGAUUUACUUAUUCUGCUCAUCCAUUUUCAUGUGCUAUAGCGAUUGAAGCGUUAAAGACAUACAAGUAAGUUUGCGUAACCAAAUGAUGUUAUAAAAAAGACACUGCAAUUCAGACUUCAUAAAAUGCAGGAAACACUUCAUAUGGAUUACUUGAGCAGCUAAGCCUUGCGUGGUUUCUUGAGUACGCCCUCCGGCACUGCAACAUGUGGUUCCGUAACUGAGCUCUCGCCACAGUAGCUUCUGUAGAUGUCGUGAUAUCAUUCAGUGGAGGCAAAUACUGGGCCUGCACCACAGGUGGUGUUAGUGUGAGUUGUAGAUAGCUUCUCACCAUCAGAGCACAUGCAUGACACACAUGUAAAUCCAUGCAUAUCAUCUUCUGGGUUGUUGUUCCUGUCCUGUCAACACAGAUUAGACUAUGUCACACUAACUCUCUAUUAAAAAGUUUUUGUCAGCUAGGAGUAUGGGAUGGUUUACAUGUGAGUUGAAAGUUGCAGUUGGGGGUUGGGGCACGUUGGGUGAUCAUCUUAGAAGGAUCAUUUCAACCUCCAAAAGCUCUCCCUCUUUCAUGACAUUGCGUGCUUCCAAAAACGGAGAAGCCGCGCUUCUGAGGAGAACGGCCGGCCGUCAAACCGGCAAACAUUAUUGGAGAGUAAAAUGUAAAAAUUCAAUAAUUUUGUUAUAUAGAUACUGAUUUAAAAUAAUACAUAAAUAUGAACAAUUAUUUUCAGAAUUGUUUAGUUUUGUACCCAAUUAAGUUCAGAAACCAUAGUCUUAAAAACUUAACUUCUAAAGGCAUAUGUUACUUUUAAAAACAGAUUGUGUCCGGUGUGUUUUAAGGUUUAGCGAAUUUUGUCAUGGAUUUUGGUUCUAAAUAACGUUUAAAAUAUAAAUUAAAACUCAGUAGUAUAAAGAUAUUUAGUAAAAUAUGUUUAUAGCUUUCCCCGAUUAAAACUAAAUAAAAUAAAGUUCUAGAAGUUAAAAUAUACUGGAUUAGCCAAAGACAAUACGAUUUCAAUAUUUGGUUAAAAAAUUAAAAUAAAAACAUUGUUAAAGACAAGAGAAGACAUUUACGAUAUAUAUCGUGUUUCAUUAAAUUUAAGCUAACAAAAAUAAAAAAGUGAACUUAAAGAUUUUUUUUUGGUUCCAAUUUAGAAAAUUAUUAAUAAAAUACACGAUCAAAAACACAACUAGAUCAAAAAUAAUUAAUGAUUAAUAAAUAAUCAAAACAUAUUUUUUUAAACUAAAUCAGUUUGAAUAGCUAACAAAAUAAUAAAUAGAUUAAACUCUAUAAUAUACCAUGAAUUUAGUGGAAAUUUUAGUGAAAAAUAACAGUUUAAUUUAAAAUAAAUAUGAUAAAACUCAGUACAUAAAAUUGAAGAAUGAAUAGAAAAAUUAAUAAGAAUAAAAAGAGAGAAGUCAAUUUAUUAUAUUGUUUUCCACAUUACAUUAACAUAUGACCGACCACCAUUCACUUGCAUCAAUCACAUGAUACAUCUAUUUAGUGAUAAGAAUUCUCUUCGCUGGUAAUGGCCCAAGGUCAAUAUAUAAAAAAUAUACAAAAGUAUUUCCAAAAAGGAACACCGACUUGAGGCUUUUUCAUAUCUAAUCAGCUGUGGAAGGUGUUUUCAUUUCAAUGCCAUGUACUUUAUGGCGCAACCAUGUUAUGCAAAAAAGAUAGAAGUUUUGAAAAUAUAUACUUGGACAAACUUCAAUGGAGACAAAGCAACAUAUGAUCAAUGUUGGCGUAAGUCAUACAAUUCUUAUGUUACGUAACAACACUCACGACAAUAAUGUGAAACCCCCAACAACAUAAAAUUUGUGUAUUUCAUAAAACCCAUUUUCUUAAGUUCUGAUUUAAAUUGCACAACUAUUAGCCAAUCCAUUUUCGUUUACAAAUAAAACAAUUUUCUCAUGCUUUAUUCCAAAAAAAAAGAAAAAUUUACAAACACCAUUAGAACAAAAAUAUAGUUACCUAACAUAUAAAUUAUCGACCCAAAUGAUAGCUAAAUUUCACACCCGAUCAAUGUCAUUUUUUUCAUUUUCCUGGAAACAUUUCACCACUUUGUAAAAAAGCCAAAAACCAUCAGAUAAGUAAUAAAAAUAAACAAAAAACCUGACCGACAUUUUAGAACAACAAAUGCCAAGCCUAAAUUUACGAUAGCAAUUUACACAUAAUUGGAGAGAGAGUAAGCAACACAGCUUGCAUAAUUGGAGAGGAAGGAUGCUACAAGAAUAAGUGGAGCUAGGGGAAGGCUGUUACUACCUACUUAUGUGCUCCGAUGUUCCAAGUUCGGUUUAGAUCCAAUCGGACGAAGCACUCAAUCACCUAUGCAAUUCUGCAAAUGGAAAAAAACAACAAGGAUACAUAUCUUUGUGGUUUAUUACUUCUGUGCACAGGAAAAAUCAAAGAAGGAAAAAAGUUCCUAGAUACCCUAGACUGGGAACACACACUACCUACAUCCGAUCGUUGCUGGAGUAAAUUAAAAAAACACUCAGUGUCUAUCCUAUUCAGCCGGAGGACAUAUAUCUAAAGAACAUGGCCAGACUCAAACCUCCAAGAAAUUGCGACCUCCAAAACAUAAAUCAUCUAUGCAAAAAUUGUUAUUACUUCAUCAGAGUUGAGAAAUUUGUCGAUUACAUUGCUCAUAGAUAAUUAAAAAAAAUGUCAUUGUUUACUUUGCUUUUUAAAGACAAAGCUGAUUUUACAAUUCUUCUGUCAUGAAUAUUUAAAAAAUCUUUAAUUUAUUGUUUGCUUUACUUUUGAAAUUAAUUACUACUCACUCAUUGACUCUUACCAUCAACUUUCCGUUUAGGAUAAACCCAUAAAAUUCAAAAAAUAAAUAAAAUCUUCAAUACAUACGUAAAAAAAAAAUGCAUCACCCCCGUUAGUACAGAAAAAUUACAUUUUCACUCAGCAGGAGUCAAAAAACGCAUUGGCAUGACGUCGAAAGCUAAGGACUCCAAGCCUGAGAUCUACGAACAUUUAUUCAUAAAAUCUAUUAUUAGUUCACGACCCUCAAUUCUUAAUUGGCAAGAACUACUAAUUCUAGCUCGAUUGGAGUAACAACUAACAGAUGAAAAUGAAACUAAUUGAAUUCAAAAGAGGAAACAAAGUCCGAACCCGGCGCGUAGCGCCGGAAUACCCCUAGUUUUAAAUAUAAGGGAACAAAGAUCGCGGCUUGAUUGAAAAAUCAGUAAAAAUACUCAGUAAUUACAUUUUUAAAAAGAAGCAUGUGUUUGAAAACCAAAGCUACAUUUAUGUUUGAAAUAUUCUAUCAUAAAUUCACCUAAUUUGCUUUUCAAUCACGCCAUAAAGAUUGCAAUCACGUUAUAUAAUUUGGAAGAUCACCUUUUUUUUAAGGAUUCGUGUAACAAUAUUAUCAUAAAUUCACCAAGUAAAAUUUACUUGUAUAUCAAAUAAAAAUAUUGCAUUGAAAUCGUGUAACAAUAGUUUCGCCUUAUAUUAAGUUAGUUCGUCAAGUUAUUAAAGUCAACAUUACGAAAAUAUUGUAAUUUUGCAUACACGAAAAUGGCAAAGAACACUACAACAAAACAACACAGCGCCAAACUCUUUCAAUAAUAUGGACGGACGCCAUUAUUAAAUCGAAUUACAUCAUAUUAUAAUGAUGGACCUAAUGGAACAUUGUAGUAACAUGGAUUAUUCAUGACAAAUAAUAUAUAAAACAUUUUGUGUAAAGGCUAAAAGACAACAAUCAGGAUAAACUAUUUAUACAAAACUUUUAUAAACUAUUUUACUGCUAUGUUGACAAAUGUAAUGUAUGUAACCAGAUCGCAUAUUUGUUAUAGAGAAAAAACGAAUCAAUGUCAUUAUUUGUUUAUUCACCGGUUUAUUUGAAAACAUAAUAAAAAGGUUAAUAUGAAAUCAACUAUAACAUGUGAUAGCAAAUUUAAUGACUAAUGACAAAAAAAUGUAAUUAAUCUAGUAAAGAAGGGGUAAUUGAAUAAAGAGGGUGAGAAUCAAUAUGGUGUUGCCACCUAAAAAAUGAUAUUCAUGUUAAUACCAUAUGAAUUAAAAAGGUUAGUUUGUAUGAAUGCUCUUACUUUAAUAUAAAAUGGAUAUAUUAAAAAAAAACAAUAGAAAAAACCUGUAAAUACAGUCUGUAACAUGUGUUUAAAAUUGGACCCUACGUUCCUUUUGUUAAGUUUAUAGCAUUUGUCAUGUAACUCUUUUCCUUUCAGAAAUUAAUAAAAGCCUUUCAGAAAUGGACAUGGUGGUCAUAAAAGCCAUUUGAUGAUGUUGGGAAACAUAUCUUAUAUAUUUAAAAAUAUACUUAUUAUAUUUUAAAAAUUAAUAGACACAUAUAUUAUAAUAUAUACCAAUUUAGAAUUAAAAAAAAUGUUUAUAUAAAAAUAAAUGAAAACAAAAACCUACGCGGUUGCGCGGAUGCGCGGAUCGAGAUCUAAUAGUAUAAUUAAAUGGCAAGAGUAAGUG